rnacentral:rRNA from 1 species
AGGAUGAACGCUGGCGGCGUGCCUAACACAUGCAAGUCGAGCGAUCUUCUUCGGAAGAGAGCGGCGGACGGGUGAGUAACGCGUGGGUAACCUGCCCUGUACACACGGAUAACAUACCGAAAGGUAUGCUAAUACGGGAUAACAUAUGAAAGUCACAUGACUUUUAUAUCAAAGCUUUUGCGGUACAGGAUGGACCCGCGUCUGAUUAGCUAGUUGGUAAGGUAACGGCUUACCAAGGCGACGAUCAGUAGCCGACCUGAGAGGGUGGUCGGCCACACUGGAACUGAGACACGGUCCAGACUCCUACGGGAGGCAGCAGUGGGGAAUAUUGCACAAUGGGCGAAAGCCUGAUGCAGCAACGCCGCGUGAGCGAUGAAGGCCUUCGGGUCGUAAAGCUCUGUCCUCAAGGAAGAUAAUGACGGUACUUGAGGAGGAAGCCCCGGCUAACUACGUGCCAGCAGCCGCGGUAAUACGUAGGGGGCUAGCGUUAUCCGGAAUUACUGGGCGUAAAGGGUGCGUAGGCGGUCUUUCAAGCCAGAAGUGAAAGGCUACGGCUCAACCGUAGUAAGCUUUUGGAACUGUAGGACUUGAGUGCAGGAGAGGAGAGUAGAAUUCCUAGUGUAGCGGUGAAAUGCGUAGAUAUUAGGAGGAAUACCAGUAGCGAAGGCGGCUCUCUGGACUGUAACUGACGCUGAGGCACGAAAGCGUGGGGAGCGAACAGGAUUAGAUACCCUGGUAGUCCACGCCGUAAACGAUGAGUACUAGGUGUCGGGGGUUACCCCCCUCGGUGCCGCAGCUAACGCAUUAAGUACUCCGACUGGGAAGUACGCUCGCAAGAGUGAAA